rnacentral:lncRNA from 1 species
GACCAUUUCUCUCUUGGCACGUUCCUUGUUCUCCUCUUCUAGAUGUUGCAAGCGUCUAUUUAGUUUGAUUAUCUGUCGUCUUAACGAAGCUGCAUCUGCAACAGUCAUGUCAUCCGAAGUUCCUUCACUUGUAUCUAUGUUUGAAGUGCCAUACCUGAUGUUGUCACGAUGCGGAUUAGAAGUGGUAGCAGCAGACCUGCCAUACUGCACAGGUCUGCGAUUUUCACCCAUCUCAUCCACGAUAUGCUGAUUCAGAAAGACCUGGAUUCAGGAAGUACUCAUUAUGUCGAACAAAUCCUGCUCAUGGGACGUAAAGUUGACCAUUCCAUUGAUAAAAGAAAGUCAUAAGAUCAGCCCAUAUUCAAAGGGAGGGGAAAGAAAUGCCACUUCUUGAUGGGAGAAGCACAUCAAGGAAGGAGCACAUUGCAAAAGGGCAUGGAUACAGGAAGACAUGACUCAUGGGAAGACAUUUUUAAUAAUCUACCACAACCUCCUAUCAGCAGCGGGAUCCCACCAACCUGGCCUGCUCUGUGUUCUUCCACAUACACGUCUUGAAGGCAUUUUGUGACUUUGGCUAUCUGUUAUGGUGGCACUAGUGUCCACUAGAAAGUAAUUUGCAUGUGGCCUGCAGGACUUGAGGAAAACUCAGAAUAUGCUAACCCAAUCUUAGGUCUCUGCUUUUACUGUUUUUUGUUCUAGCCAUUUGUCUGCUGGUAAUUUCUACUCUAACAGGCUGCUGACUUCUUGAAAGCAAGGCCUGGGUCAUUCUAACAGGUAUAAGGUGAUAUCUCAUUGUGGUUUUGAUUUGCAUUUCACUGAUGUUUAGUAAUGUGGAGCAUUUUUUAUAUACCUGUUGGCCCCUUGUAUAUCUUCUUUACAGAGUGUCUAUUCAGGUAUUUUGCCCAUUUUUAAUAGGGUUAUUUGUUUUCUUGCUUUUAAGUUGAGUUCCUUACAUAUUUUGGACAUUAACCCAUGUAGUUUGUAUAGUUUGCCAGUAUCCUUUCCCAUUUUAUAGGUUGUUUGUUCACUCUGCUGAUUGUUUCCUUUGCUGUGAAGAAGCUUUUUGGUUUAAUAUAGUCCCUUUUGUCCAAUUUUGCUUUUGUUGCCUGUGCUUUUGAGGUCUUAUCCAAAAAACCAUUGUCUAUAUCCAUGUCAUUAAGCAUUUCCCACUUUUUUUUCGUAGUUCCAUAGUUUCAGGCUUUGCAAUUAAGGGCUAAGCACAGCUUUUUACAUAUCAGGCUUCAAUAAAUGUUGAAUAAAUUAUUCAAAUUGACCAUCUCCAAUUUUUAC